rnacentral:tRNA from 1 species
GCCGGCGUGGCGGAAUUGGCAGACGCGNNCGGGACUCAAAAUCCCGUUCCUUUUUGGAGUGUCGGUUCGAUCCCGACCGCCGGUA